UACGUAGGGGGCAAGCGUUGUCCGGAGUUACUGGGCGUAAAGCGCACGCAGGCGGUCGAUUAAGUUUGGAGUGACAGUUGGUGGCUUAACUGCCAAAGUGCUUUGAAAACUGAUCGACUUGAGGGCUUCAGAGGGACACGGAAUUCCGGGUGGAGUGGUGAAAUGCGUAGAGAUCCGGAGGAACACCGAAGGCGAAGGCAGUGUCCUGGGGAGUACCUGACGCUCAGGUGCGAAAGCCAGGGGAGCGAACGGG
rnacentral:rRNA from 1 species